rnacentral:rRNA from 1 species
UACGGGGGGGGCAAGCGUUGUUCGGAAUUACUGGGCGUAAAGGGCUCGUAGGCGGCCAACUAAGUCGGAUGUGAAAUCCCCGGGCUCAACCCGGGAACUGCGUCCGAUACUGGGAGGCUUGAAUCCGGGAGAGGGAUGUGGAAUUCCAGGUGUAGCGGUGAAAUGCGUAGAUAUCAAGAGGAACACCUGAGGUGAAGACGGGUUGCUGGGCCAACACUGACGCUGAGGCGCGAAAGCCAGGGGAGCAAACGGG